rnacentral:tRNA from 1 species
AGGGAUGUAGCUCAGCGGUACAGCACUUGCCUGUCAAGCAUGAAGUCAUGAGUUCGAUUCCCAGUACUA